rnacentral:rRNA from 1 species
CAAGGCUUGACAUAUAGAGGAAAAGUGCAGAAAUGUACUCCCCGUAAGGUCUCUAUACAGGUGGUGCAUGGUUGUCGUCAGCUCGUGUCGUGAGAUGUUGGGUUAAGUCCCGCAACGAGCGCAACCCUCGUCCUAUGUUGCCAGCACGUAAUGGUGGGAACUCAUGGGAUACUGCCGGGGUCAACUCGGAGGAAGGUGGGGAUGACGUCAAAUCAUCAUGCCCCUUAUGUGUAGGGCUACACACGUGCUACAAUGGUCGGUACAAACGGUCGCGAACCCGCGAGGGGAAGCCAAUCCGAGAAAGCCGAUCGUAGUCCGGAUUGGGGUCUGCAACUCGACCCCAUGAAGUCGGAAUCGCUAGUAAUCGUGAAUCAGAAUGUCACGGUGAAUACGUUCCC